rnacentral:rRNA from 1 species
UACGGGGGGGGCAAGCGUUGUUCGGAAUUACUGGGCGUAAAGGGCUUGUAGGUGGCCAACUAAGUCAGACGUGAAAUCCCCCGGCUUAACCGGGGAACUGCGUCUGAUACUGGAUGGCUAGAGAUUGGGAGAGGGACGCGGAAUUCCAGGUGUAGCGGUGAAAUGCGUAGAUAUCUGGAGGAACACCGGUGGCGAAGGCGGCAUCCUGGACCAACACUGACACUGAGGAGCGAAAGCCAGGGGAGCAAACGGG